UACGGAGGGGGCUAGCGUUGUUCGGAAUUACUGGGCGUAAAGCGCACGUAGGCGGCUUUGUAAGUUAGAGGUGAAAGCCCGGGGCUCAACCCCGGAACUGCCUUUAAGACUGCAUCGCUUGAAUCCAGGAGAGGUGAGUGGAAUUCCGAGUGUAGAGGUGAAAUUCGUAGGUAUUCGGAAGAACACCAGUGGCGAAGGCGGCUCACUGGCCUGGUAUUGACGCUGAGGUGCGAAAGCGUGGGGAGCAAACAGG
rnacentral:rRNA from 1 species